UACGAACCGUGCGAACGUUGUUCGGAAUCACUGGGCUUAAAGGGUGCGUAGGCGGUUCCAUAAGUCAGUGGUGAAAUACGGCAGCUCAACUGUCGAGGUGCCAUUGAUACUGCGGAACUUGAGUACUGAUGAGGUAGGCAGAAUUGACGGUGUAGCGGUGAAAUGCUUAGAUAUCGUCAAGAACACCGAUAGCGAAGGCAGCUUACCAAGCAGUAACUGACGCUCAGGCACGAAAGUGCGGGGAUCAAACAGG
rnacentral:rRNA from 1 species